rnacentral:lncRNA from 10 species
AUGCUGACAGGGUGGUCUGAACAUGUGAAAUUAUCCCAUCUGAGAGGAGGAACAGUUGAGCUUCAUAGUGUUGGACGGUUCGCGUGUUACCUAUUUAUUGUGAAUCUUCAAGUCUGCCCUUUUAAGGGGCUGCAAGGCCCAGAGAUCUGGACACAGGCCAAGAAGUCAAGAACUGUUGAAGCCGCAGUCUCCACUCUCCUACUGACACCAGAGACCACCCAGCCCAGCCACACCAUAUGGCCUCUUGUUUUCCUGAUGUAUGAGGUGGGUAGAACGCUUUUCCCCCAAAAGAGGACUCCAAGGGAUCAAUUAGUUAAAAUCUGUAAACAUGUAGCAUUAUAAUUACGAUUCCGGCUUCUAGUCGAAAUGAAACUGGCCAAAAGGAAAGAAAAUACUGACACUGCCUCUGAGGGCAGCUGCCACUGCUUUUCCGGUAUUUCCAGUCUGGUUGGUUGAAGAAUGUCUUGGAUCAGCUCAGCGCUUGACUGGCCCAGAGCUGUGCCUGCCCCAUUUGAAGAUAAGGAGGCCAAAAACCCAACUGAGCCCUGGACAUAACUAGGCCAUGGGAGUUUACACCAUUUGCUGUAGCAAACGCUGGGCCUCUCAAUAGGUUACAAUGUGUCUAAGGCAGGGCCCUAAACCUUCAGGUUGUUUAGGAAUUG